AUGACUAUACUUUCAGGGAUCAUUUCUAUAGUGUGUGACUAGAGAAGUUUCUCUGAUCGUAGAGCAUCCGAAGGCACGAGGAGGAGUCAGAGCGUCCUCUCCUGAGCGUAAAGCCGGUUCUAGGAGUUGCUUCUGAGACUUCCUCUUGCCAUUGAUGAUUGUUUCCCCUUUUCUCUGAAAAGGGUUGAGGGAGAGGAUGCAGUCUGAGUGGU